rnacentral:rRNA from 1 species
GCCUUUCUACGGGGCGCAGCAGUAGGGAAUCUUCCACAAUGGGCGAAAGCCUGAUGGAGCAACGCCGCGUGGGUGAAGAAGGUGUUCGGAUCGUAAAUCCCUGUUGUUAGAGAAGAAAGUGCGUGAGAGUAACUGUUCACGUUUCGACGGUAUCUAACCAGAAAGCCACGGCUAACUACGUGCCAGCAGCCGCGGUAAUACGUAGGUGGCAAGCGUUAUCCGGAUUUAUUGGGCGUAAAGGGAACGCAGGCGGUCUUUUAAGUCUGAUGUGAAAGCCUUCGGCUUAACCGGAGUAGUGCAUUGGG